GAUUAUGUAACAUCUCAGCCAAUUGCUUGUGAGAUCUUUCAGUGGCAAUUUCAUUCUUUCUUUUUUUAACCUAACCCCAAAUAAUUGAGACCCUUUUAUUCAUCGGUUUUCAGACGUUUCUUUCUCCAUCAAUUUCAUAUGCUUAAAAUCCCUUUAUUUCACCAGAUUUCAUACGGCAUUCCUUCACCCAACACCUUUCCUUCUCCUGCCAAACUUAUCUAUCAAAAAUUCAAGAGAAUUAACUCAAGAAUCAAGUCUAGUUUCCUUCUUCCCAAUCUCUAAUUUCUCUAACGGCUUAAGGUUUUAAGAUGUACGUUCGUGAUUCUGAGCAAUAUUAGAUCCAUUCGUGUCAGAUGUUGGUGAGCUCUUAAUCUCUCCAUAAGGAAAUCAUGUUUUGGAUGCUAAAUUUGUGGAAAUGAUGAAAAGGUGAUUUUGGCUACUUACGGGAACAAUUAUGGAUGUUUGGGACACUUUUCAGAUUGUUUGUGACCAAAUCAUGUGUAGAAUUUGAAGAAGAGCUGAAAAAUAACUUCCAGCACAUGUCAAGUCAACAAGAGGACCGCAUGUAGCACAUGUGGACCACAUGUCGUCAAAGCAUGUGUCAAAAGUUUAAAAUUUCGAGAGCUAAACCUGCAGGAAAUUUUGGUUCGUACACAUGUGGUCGCAACACACUCCCACCCUGUAGGUCGCAUGUACCACAUAUGCCAACCCUACAGGGCGUAUGUAGCGACCACAAGUAGCCACCGACCCUUUUUUCUCCUAUUUCACUCGAGCUUUGGUUUUAGGAUUUUCUCAUAUACUAUAAAUACCCCUUAUAUGUUUUUAGUAUAAGUUACACACUCUUGAUAAAUACAAAUAUAUUUUGAUUCCAUGAUUCAAUUUUAGUCUUUGGAAUUCUCUUC